CACAUACGACUACUGGACCAAACCGGAUUUCAGCCAUCAAGACUGUGGAUAGCUUGAGGGAAUCAAGUUCCAUGACGGAUACAUUCUAGUGUCGGAGAAGGAAGAAGCUGAAAUGGUUCUUCAGCAGGAAACCAUUGCAGUCUUUGUCAUCAGAGAUGCACAAGCCUUACCUCAAGACAUUGGUCCUCAUGGAGCUGGACCCGAAAGGCAUGACCAACAAAGUCAAGAGACUGUAUGACCAGCUCUACAAUAGAGCUUAGUUCAGAUUAACACAAAAAUCCCAGUUGACCAAGAAAGUUAUAUCACGUUUGAGUGGCUACCUGUUUUGGAAUUAUUAAGUACUGAGUUCAGUAUUUCAGUUGUAAAAAUUGUAAGGCAUGUAAGAAAACAUGUAAAUUGUUUGAGAAAUUACUGUGGAAACAGAUUGAACACUGCAUAGGCAUGUGUAUACAUUUGUUUGUUUGUGUAAUAUUAAUAGAAUCUUUUGUAAUAAUAUCCAUAUUAUGUUGGAAUGCCAGCUCUAAGUUAGAGUUUAAGUUAACACAUCCCAGUUGACCAAGUAAGUUAUAUCACAUUUGAGUGGCUGCCUGUUUUGGAAUUAUUAAGUACUGAGUUCAGUAUUUCAGUAGUAGAAACUACAGCUUUAAAGCAGGUGGAUGCUUUCAGUUGACCAAGAAAGUUAUAUCACGUUUGAGUGGCUACCUGUUUUGGAAUUAUUAAGUACUGAGUUCAGUGUUUCAGUAGUAGAAAUUGUAAAGCAUGUAAGAAAACAUGCAAAUUGUUUGAGCGUUUACUGUGAAAACAGAUGCACUGCACUGGAAUUUGUAUACAUAUAUUUUUUGUAAUAUACUACUUUGUAAUAAUAUCCAUAAUAUUUUGGAAGGUCAGCUCUAAGUUACAGUUUAAGUUAAAAAUCUGACCUUGAGAAUGGAUGUGUGGAAAUAAUGCCUGAUGUGAAGGAGGUUAAUAAAUAUUGAAAUAAUGAUAAUUAUUGAUGUAGUCCAUAUGU
ensembl:lncRNA